rnacentral:sRNA from 1 species
GGGCUCCAGAAUGAAAGCUCUGGAAGCCGGAGACAUCCUGUGUUGAUCGCAGCCAUCCCCCAGCAUGUGGAGCAACACUAGGACCAUGGUAGAUGUUCAGUCAUGUUCGUUGAAGGAAGAAGGGAGUGAAUGAAUGUCUUCUCUGAGGAUAGCUGAGCAUCCAUGCGUCCGUCUGGCCAUGAGAACUUGGUUGCGCUCACAUGAGGAUCCUGAGCAGAGUCGCAGUGCACGCUCUGCGGGGAGCCGGAAGGGAGAAAUGGGGAGAGAUGAUCCCAACGCGUGACUCUAAGGGCCAAAUAUUAAAGGCUUCUGUAUACUCAGGGCCACAGAACCUCAACUGCGUCCACUGGAAAGGCUCUUACCUGCAAUUUAAAACAUAAAAAUUAAAAAAAUAUACAGACAGCCCAACUCUAAAUCCUUGAAAUGCAGUGUGGUGUGAAAAUGGAGCGGCAUUUUGGUUAACAAGGGUCUCGAUGCCAUUUACAGGAAAGCAGUUUCUGCAGGGUUCUGCUUUGCAGAGAUCUCUCCUGAUAAUAAUAAUAAAUUUACUCAGAACAA